ACAGACCAGUAUAGUUUAUCAACCUUACCACUUGGGUGUUGGAUUACUAGUGUUGCUGCAUCUAUGGCUUGGCAAUUUCCCAUCUUUCUCUGUUUCUCUCUCCUCCUGGUUCAGAGAGUUUCAAAAGACCAGAAACAAGGCAGGCUAUUUUUUUCUUACAGAUGUUUAGCUGAUAUGAGCAUAGGAAGUUCUACUAUCCACAAAAUGAGGGGAGCUGCUUGCCUACAGAAAUUCCAGUAUUCGCAUGAACGACUGCUCUGAUCCUGACCGAGAUCUAAGAUUUCCAACUGCACGUGCUUAACCCUACAAUAUUAAGGAGUACCAAUUUUUUCGAAAGGAAAAAUACAUAGGAAUAACAAAUACGAGGAACGGAGGAAGUGUAACAAAACAUUUCAUAGCUCCCUCUAGGUCAUUUACAUGAGUAUGGAAAAGAUGGGAGCUUGUAUUAAUUGUAAUCUUGAAUUGCGUCAUGUCCUUUGUUAUGCAUGUAGGGGUAGUUGUUAUUGAAGAAAGGUUUAUGUGCUUAAAGUCAACUUUGCAAUGUAAUCUUGAUGUUGAAACCUAAUUAAGACAAAA